AUUAGAAUGUAAGUAAUUAACGUUUUAUACGCCACUGCAGUUCGAUACUACUUCGCGAAUCGUUCACUCGCGUUGUAAAGUACACACGUGUAUAUAACACGGGCAAUCAUUGCGGUAUACACGCGGUACAUAAUUCUGUAUACAACCGCCACUUUGCUGUUUGCCUUUGCAAAGAAUAAACAUAUAUAUACUAGGUGACGAUUGACGCGACUUCUUUAUUUCUUUUUUUUGGUUUUUCCCACCAAAUUCUGAUCCUUGAAAGUACAUCGAUUCGCAGGUGUAAACACGUGUUCGUCAAUUUUUUAAAUCAGAUCUCCAGCUCUGAUAGAUCGUUGAGGACAUAAGUGUGAUCCGCGACCCUCGAUCUUAUUUCAUUUAGAUUCGAUUGGUUUCCUUCUCUUUUUCGAUAGAUAUCGCGAUCGGGGACUCGAUUGUAUGUGACAUGAAGUAUAUGUACUACUUGUUCCAUGUGAUGUGAGGUGUAUAUAAGAAAAACCCCCACAACGUUGUAUUAUACCUCGGCAGAUAAAUGAUAACGCGCCGUUAGACCGUGAUAACGGGAAGAUUAUAGGUAUGUUAUACGUUCGAAUAUAAUUCCAUCACAUCUUUUAUCUGUUGUACGUCUGUAAUGUUUGUUUGAAAAGUUAAUAGGUAUAAUGCACUCUUCAAUUUCUGCGUUACGGCGUCUAUACGGCGGUAGUACGUCAGAGUUACUGCAUCGACCGCGACUGUUCCCCGCACAUACAUACAUAUAUCUGCCGAACAAUGUCUGAUUGUAAACGAAAAGACACCGCAGAAAAUGACAAAUUAUUUAUUUAUUCAUUUCGUUCAUGCAACGCCAAAAAUAUAACGCUUCAGUCGCUAUAUAUAUAUAUUUCGCGGAUUUGUCUUCUUUAUCGUUGGAUUUUUUUUUCUUCCGAUGAUUAUGCAUGUAUUGGAAGGUACGCAGAUCGUAGCCGCGCGGUAUAUGUAUGUAUACAUGUACGUAUGCGCGAAGAAUUAUAAAUUCAUGUGUAUGUAAUUAACCGAGGGGCAGAUAAUAUUACGUUAUCUCGUA